GGGGGUGAAGAGAGAAGCUUACUGCAGAAGUGGCUGGAUAGAGACGCCUGCUGCAGAGGGAAGCCUGCUGAAGAGAGAAGCCUGCUGGAGAAGUGGCUGCAGAGAGACGCAUGCCGCAGAAGUGGUGGCAAAGAGCAUCCUGCUGUGGACAGAAGUGGUGGCAAAGAGCAUUCUGCUGUGGACGUGGCUGUAGAGACAAUUGCGACACCUCAGCAGAGCCAAGAAGCCAUGUUCUCACCCAACCCUUGAACUUUCUACUCUCCCAGUGAGAGGGAGGUGCAGAGGAGCAGGCAAGAAGGUGGCAGAAUGCUUCCUUCCAGUGUUUCAGCAAUGUUUGGGCUAGGAUAAGGUAGAAAGACAGUAAAGGUUCCCACAGCGUCCUGCUAAAAA
rnacentral:lncRNA from 1 species